CAGCCGCCGCGGUAAUGCGAAGGGUGCAAGCGUUAAUCGGAAUUACUGGGCGUAAAGCGUGCGUAGGCGGUUUGUUAAGUCUGUUGUGAAAUCCCCGGGCUCAACCUGGGAAUGGCAAUGGAUACUGGCAAGCUAGAGUGUGUCAGAGGAUGGUGGAAUUCCCGGUGUAGCGGUGAAAUGCGUAGAGAUCGGGAGGAACAUCAGUGGCGAAGGCGGCCAUCUGGGACAACACUGACGCUGAGGCACGAAAGCGUGGGGAGCAAACAGGAUUAGAGACCCCCGUAGUCCCUGUCUCUUAUAC
rnacentral:rRNA from 1 species